rnacentral:SRP_RNA from 1 species
CGUGAACCCGGUCAGGCCCGGAAGGGAGCAGCCGUAGCGGUGGACUCGGGUGCCGAGGUGUGGCGGGCACGG